AGCUCUCUCCUCCGCAGAGGCUUACAUGAAGUUUCUAGUGAAGGAAAAGUGAGCGCGCAAGGAGUGAUGGGAAGAACGAAAUAAGGGAAGCCUCUGCGAGUUAAUGCAAUCAAUAUGGCGUCGUAUAUAAUCGUUUGUAGCGAAGUUCGAUCAACCAUCGGGGGUGUUAAAACAUGUUUUCGACUUUCAUUUUCAGGCGUACUUGAGUAUCCUGGAGUGAAUUCAAUAUCAAUAUCUUCUUCUGUCCAUUUGCAUCGAAAAAUAUUGAGAAAUUGCAAACGAAUAUCAAUGGAUACGAUAUCUGAUUAUAAAUAUCCUCUUAAUUGCAACAUUUCUUUAUAAAAAUGACUCUAUUGAACUUCGAUACUCAGAUUAUGAAGAUUCAUUUCAAUUUCUUUCACAUUUCCGUCGAUUUCAAGUUUAAAAAAUGUCAAACAACUAGUUUGGUUCAAAAGCCAUACUUCGUCGCAUUAUCUGGCAGAGUCUCCCCAACUUCAUUUCAAUUUUCCCAUCACACCUCGCGCGCUCACUUUUAUUCAGGAAACUUCAUGUAAGUUACUUUGUAAAUACUUAAGGAGGCUCUGCGGAGGAGAGAG